UACGUAGGGUGCGAGCGUUGUCCGGAAUUAUUGGGCGUAAAGAGCUCGUAGGCGGCUUGUCGCGUCGGAUGUGAAAGCCCGGGGCUUAACUCCGGGUCUGCAUUCGAUACGGGCAGGCUAGAGUUCGGUAGGGGAGAUCGGAAUUCCUGGUGUAGCGGUGAAAUGCGCAGAUAUCAGGAGGAACACCGGUGGCGAAGGCGGGUCUCUGGGCCGAUACUGACGCUGAGGAGCGAAAGCGUGGGGAG
rnacentral:rRNA from 1 species